rnacentral:Y_RNA from 1 species
AGCGGAUCCGAGGUAGUGCGUUACCUCCAUUGGUUAUGUAGUCAGUAACAGAUCGAACUUGUUCUACUCUGUUACCCUCUUUUCAUUAUUGCAUUUGACUAGUCUAAA